GGGAGGAGGGAGGGGCCGGGGCCGAGUCUGUGCCGAGCGAGUGCAGGGGGGGAGGGAGGGGGCGGGCGGGCCGCGAGCGAGAGGGGCAGCGGCGCCCCGGGCGCUCGCCUCCCUCCCCUGGCCGCCGGCCCGCCGGCCCUGCAAAGUUUAACGCCAAUUCUCUCUGCGUCCUGGGGGCCGAGCGACGCCUCUUGGCGGAUGCUCACCGCAGCCCUGCGCUGGCGAGGCGAGGCCGGGGACAGCCCUGACCGUUUUCUAGACGGUGCGAUGGAGGCCUCCACAUCUAGCUCAUCCCUCAGCCUGUGAGCAGCCUAGAGCUUAUCAUUGCCCAGCCUUCCGGAUGGAUCCCACGUCCAGUUCUCUCAGCUCUAUUUCAAUCCUCCCAGGACCUUUGGGCCCCAACCAACCAGCCCUUCCGUGUUUCCAAACUGAGUCCCUCUAACCUAGAAAGUCUCAAAUUCUAUGGAUCUGAUAAGAGGUGUCAAUCUCCCCGGAACAAUACAAAUGGCCACAAAAUUCUGCGUCCACUGCUUGAGGGCUGGUACCCCUCUGAAGCCCAACCAGAGACUGGCACUUCUGGCCUGGAUCCUGGUGUCGGGGUGGCCUCCCUACUACCCACAGCUGCCUGGGGAGAAAAUACCACCUUCCCUGCAGAGGAGAUGACGUGUGCCCACAAUGCUGUCUACUUUAUAUGUUGCCACUUGAUCCAUCAGCUCUUGUGCAGUUAAAACCGGUCCAGUGGAGACAAAGUGUUAGAUCCUGAUCUCACCUUUCUCUGUUGGGUAAGAAGGAUGUGUUAAACAGAGGAGUGAUGACAUUUGCCAACAGUCACCAACGAGGAGGUGUGACAGAGCUGGGACUCGUAUCCAGAGCUGUCUGACCUCCAGCUCAAGUGUAUACCCACUGGACCACACUGCCUUUUGAAUCGGGCACAGGUGAUGGAUUCCUAGCAGUGAGAUUUCAAACCAGCGGGAGUUCCCAGCCGGAGACAUGAUCUAAGUGCCAAUGUCUGAAUGUCUGCGAGCAUUUCAAGUCGUUCCGAGAACAGGCGACGUUAGUGGCACCAUUAAAGCCUGCUGUUCUCCAUCCCAUCACUGCCAGCCCCACCUAUUAAAAUAAUGGUAUGGAAA